rnacentral:rRNA from 1 species
AUAUUUGAAUUUAGUAAUGCCGAACGCACCCGGUCUCGUCGGAUCUGAGACGCUAAACAGGGGUUGAUACUGGCUCGUACUUGGAUGGAAUACGGCCUGGAAAUUCCAGGUGUUUGUAAGCU